rnacentral:rRNA from 1 species
AGCAGCCGCGGUAAUUCCAGCUCCAAUAGCGUAUAUUAAAGUUGUUGCAGUUAAAAAGCUCGUAGUUGAAUUUCGGGGUUAGUAGGUUGGUCAUGCCUCUGGUAUGUACUGGUCUCACUGAUUCCUCCUUCCUGAUGAACCUUAAUGCCAUUUAUUUGGUGUUUUGGGGAAUUUGGACUGUUACUUUGAAAAAAUUAGAGUGUUUAAAGCAAGCUAACGCUUGAAUACAUUAGCAUGGAAUAAUGAAAUAGGACGUUCGAUCCUACUUUGUUGGUUUCUAGGAUUGACGUAAUGAUUAAUAGGGAUAGUUGGGGGCAUUAGUAUUCAAUUGUCAGAGGUGAAAUUCUUGGAUUUAUUGAAGACUAACUACUGCGAAAGCAUUUGCCAAGGAUGUUUUCAUUAAUCAAGAACGAAAGUUAGGGGAUCGAAGACGAUCAGAUACCGUCGUAGUCUUAACCAUAAACUAUGCCGACUAGGGAUCGGAUAAUGUAAUUUUUAAUGACUCAUUCGGCGCCUUACG